GCCGUAAUUAUACUUAUUGUUACAAUCCAUUUAAUAAAAUGCAACAUUUUUUUGUUUUAAUGAAAAAAUCAGUUAUUUUCAUGAGAACGAUUUGUUAUUCCAUAUUUCAAUUUUUUUAAUCUCCAAUCGCAAUAACGUAAAGUAUUAUUACCCGCAAACCAAUGAGUUAAAUUUUAUGAAACAACCCACUGUUAGAAAGCUGAAUGGCUACGCUUUAAAAUGAAUGUAAACUUUAACGUUUUCGUCUAUUAUUUGUUUAGCAAUUUACAUUUCAGUCGAGGAUUG